GGGAAGUAGCUCAGCUUGGUAGAGCACAUGGUUUGGGACCAUGGGGUCGCAGGUUCGAAUCCUGUCUUCCCGACCA
rnacentral:tRNA from 1 species